UAAAGAAAAAUACUUAAGAAAUAAUAUACGCUCCCUAAAAAAAUUUCUUAUUUUAUUAAAUCUUACGUCAAGAAAACUAGUAAUUAACUUUUAUGCAUUACACGAAGAAAGUGACUGAAUAAUUAAAAUGUCGACUCAUGUUUUUUCACAGCAGAUGUUGCCAUCUCAAAAACAAAAUUCUUAAGCUGUACAAAUCGUUUGCAUAUUAUUUUCUACAUAAAACAGCAUCCAUAAACUUCUGGAUAUGUAGAAACGCUGCAAUAAAAAGAAUCAAACUUCAGCGCUAAGUAAUAAAAUUUAUUUUUUAUAGAUCACAAUCUAAACCUCAGAUGUUUGCAUACAAUUAGCGUUGUGGAUAAAUGAAUUUUAUUGCCGAAUCUCAGAAGUUUCGUAAAAGUAAUAUGUGGCCUACCUAAGAAAUGAUUUUCUCUCUUAAAUCACAGAAGACAUUUUUAAGCUGACGGUGACUUAAGCUUAAGGUGACUACAAUAUGAUCAUGUAUAUAACUAAUGAAAAAAUACCAGAUGAUAUAACGCUGGUUAGCUUCUGCACGAGAACAUACCAGAAAUUCGCUACCUCGUAAUCAAAAGUAGGGAGUCUACUUAAACACUGAGAUAAAUGAUAUUUGGCACUGUAUUCCACUUUUGUUUAAAAUGUCACAAUCAUUUGAAUUAAAAUUAACAAUGACUUCU